GGGGUCGACUGGUUUUGACAGCGAGGUCAACCGUUUUGUAAGCAAGUGGAGCCUUGUGGUAUGGCUCUUUAAUUCAAUACUGCAAAUUUUAACAGGCGAAAAUAAUUACGCUCUUGCUGCCUAAUUCACCAAGUGAAUUACGCUUCAUCCACUCUACAAGGUAGGGGGACGAGAUGCCCUGAGAUAGACCCUGCCUAGCGGUUUAUUUCACCCAGGGUACCAUUAAAGUUGGGUUAGGAUUUGUUCGGCUUCUGUUCAAAUUCGAGAUUAACGAAGCUAAGUUUUAAGUGGGCUGUUAGUGGCCAGCUUAUUUUCGAAAAUUAAGCACUGACUAAACUUGUAGAAAGCUCAAUGUUUGCUUGUUUGGACGAGGGUUCGAAUCCCUCCGACUCCACAG
rnacentral:tmRNA from 1 species